GACAUUAGAAUCAUAGGCUUUUGGUUAAAGAUUGCUUAAGAUGUUUCUCAGACCCUGAAUUCCAGCAACCAGUUUGAAGACCCUCACAGAGGAGGAAGAUCAGCAUGAGAAUACAGCUUCUUCAUCUCCCUGUGCCAUGACUUUACCCUGUACCCUUUUUUUUUUCCUUUCUUUUCUUUUUUUUUUUUUUUUUUUUUUGAGACAGAGUUUCGCUCUUGUUGCCCAGGCUGGGGUGCAAUGGUGCAAUCUCAGCUCACCGCAACCUCCACCUCCUGAGUUCAAGUGACUCUCCUGCCUCAGCCUCCUGAGUAACUGCGAUUACAUUCACGCGCCACCACGCCGGGCUAUUUUUGUAUUUUUAGUAGAGAUGGGGUUUCUCCAUGUUGGUCAGGCUGGUCUUGAACUCCCAACCUCAGGUGAUCCUCCCACCUCAGCUUCCCAAAGUGCUGGGAUUACAGGCAUGAGCCACCGUGCCCAGCCUACCCUGUACUCUUUAACCAAUCAACAAUCUCCAUACUUUGGCCCACUCCAAAGCCCUUAAAGACCCUAGCCCCAAACUCAUCAGGGAGAUGGAUUUGAGGUCUUUUCCCAUCUCUUUGUUCUGCGACCUCAUGAUCAAACAUCUUUCUCUGCUGCAAAUCCAGUGUCUCAGUAUACUGACUUGCUGUGUGCAACAGGCAAUGAAAAUAUUACAGUUACAAUACAAUUAGUUUUAUUUGUUUCUGCUUGUAUCUUUUUGGGGUCUGUCCCCCUAACUCCACAUCCUGCUUGAUGUAUUUAUUUUGGGAGUUAUGUAAAGCAUUAUUCAUUCCUAAUUUCCUUUUAAUCAAUUUAGAGAUACAGACCCCUGCUGAGCACCUACCAUGUGCCAGGGACAGCCUGGGUAUUUUUAUUACCUAUUAUAUGACUAUAAAAACAUAAUAUGACAUUUUAUAUGUCAAUACCUGGGUUAUAAAGCUUUAUGCCAAGAUUUCAAAACUGAUUUACUUUAAUCCCUGAAAGGUGACGCCCCUUUUGUAUUCUUUUAUCCCCUUUCUUAAUGGUUCUCCAACUCUGUGGAUCUAUAGAUUCUUUGGCUCUACUUAUAUAAAUAGCCUAAAAACAUAUCAGGAAUGACGAGGCUUUCUCAUGAAACUGUUCUUUCUCAUGAAACACUAAAGGAAUGUUACCUGUUUUAGUUUUUUAAUUAACAAUCAUUUUUUAUAAUUCACACUCUAAAAUGACAAUGUUGACACAAUAUUUGUAAAUACAAACAAAGACUGAGCACUCUUGAGGGCUCAUUCAUUUCAAUUUGGGCUUUUAGAAGACACAGUUCUAAGUGUUUACAAGGACUUUUUGAAAGGCAGCCAUGAGUUGGUCACUGGCCCUGCCUGGCAUAGGCCCCUGUCCUCACAUAGGACACAAGUGAGUUGGGAGAACUGUAAAGUAUAGUGGAUAAUGUGCAAUUUUUAGGUCAAAAGAGCUGUGCACCCUUAGGUAAAUUUCUUCUUGUCUCUGAGUUGCAAUUUCUUCAUUUGUUAAGAAGGAUACAUUAUAUAAGUUACAUAUGUUAUUUAUAUCAUUUAUAUAAAUAUAUAUCAUUUAUGUAUCUACUACACAUUAUAUACAUUAUUUAUCUCCCUUUACAAUGAGGUAAUAGAAUCAUUGUGAUAAUGAAAUUAUAUGUGCCAAAAUAUUUUUAAGUUUUCAGCACAUAUAAAGUACUCAGAAAAUGUCAGCUAUUUAGUACCAUUAUAAUUUCAUUGCUAUUUAAAACAUAAAUAACAGUAGCAUAUGUCAUUCAAUAAUCUAUAGUGUUUAUUUGGUAAAAAAAAAAAAACAGAUUCAUCAUCUGGGAUGGAGAAGAGACAGAGAAAAAGAAUGUUUAUUAGACCUCAUAACAAUCUAAUCCUGAUAAUAACCCAUUAAGGUAGAUAUUAAUAAACUCAUCUGUAAAACAAGGAUAAGUAACCUGCCCAAGGUCAUGCAACUACUAAGUGACAAGGCUAAGUACUAAUCUAGAUCUCACUAUUAAAAAGGGAUACUGGGCAGUGAGUUAGCUCUUUUAGAAGUAGAUAUGCUUGGCUGGGCAUGGUGGCUCAUGCCUGUAAUCCUAGCACUCUGGGAGGCUGAAGUAGGUGGAUCACCUGAGGUCAGGGGUUUGAGACCAGCCUGGCCAACAUGGCAAAACCCCAUCUCUACUAAAAAUACAAAAAUUAUCCAGGCGUGGUGGCGAGCGCCUAUAUUCCCAGCUAUUUGGGAGGCUAAGGUGGGAGAAUCACUUGAACCCUCGGGGGCAGAGGUUGCAGUGAGCUGAGAUCAUGCCACUGCACUCCAGACUGGACAAAAAAGCAAAACUCUGUCUCCAAAAAAAAAAAAAAAAAAAAAAAAAAAGGAGAUGCUUCGGCUUUAGAAAAAUGUCCUGAAUUUUUGUAUGGAGAACAGUGUCCAACAGGCGCCCAGAAUAGAACCCGACAAUAUGGCAGAAUCACUCCAGAGCAUAGCGUAUGUACAACUGGGCAAAAGAGACUUAGAACAUGACCUAGUUCCUGAGUAGGAACAUUCAUUCAUAGGGUCCUCUUAGGUAAGUCAAUUCCACAUUCUAGAUUUUUCAGUUCAGAAUUCAUCCCACAUAUUCUGUGUCAUUAUCACCAUGUGCAUUUUUGGGCUAGGUUACCAUUUUCACAGAUCCAAGAUAUUACAGAAGAAUUCCUACAAGUCUAGACUUGGCAUCUCAAACUGGCAACUUGUCUUUCAAAGCCCGCAAACCCAUUUUCUUCAGGAGACGUUACAAAAUCAAAUCUGAAUGCUUCUUAAUGUUGCAUGUGGGUUUCCAGGCUCCUCCCGCCCCCUGAGUCACCAUUCCUCCUUAUUACCUUUUAGACCAACCCUCUUUAUCCUUCAUCCAUAUACCGUAUGAUGCUUGGCCCCUAAGAGUGUUUAUGUUAAUCAGGACCCACUCCAGACUGAUUAAAUGAGAAUAUCUGGAUUUGGGGCCAGGAUAGAGAUUUUAAAGGCUGCCCUUGCCCAGGUGUUUCUAAUGAACAACCAAUGUUAGUCACAGCUCUAGCCCCUGCUCUCAAUCCAUACAUCAAUCUUUCUUUCUAUUGUAUUCUUCUCUUUGUAGUGAGCUGAAUAGUGUCUGCCCCCCUCCAACAAAUUAAUGUUCAUUUGGAACCUUAGACUGUGACCUUAUUUAGAAAUAGUCUUUUUUUUUUCUUUUGAGACAAGUCUUGCUCUGUUGCCCAGGCUGGAGUGCAGUGGGGUGAUCUGGGCUCACUGCAACCUCUGCCUCACGGGUUCAAGUGAUUCUCAUGCCUUGGCCUCCUGAGUAGCUGGGAUUACAGGUGUGUACCACCACGCCCGGCUAAUUUUUGUAUUUUUAGUAGAGACAGGGUUUCACCAUGUUGCCCAGGCUGGUCUUGAACUCCUGACCUCAGGUGAUCUGCCUGCCUUAGCCUCCCAAAGUGCUAGGAUUACAGGUGUGAGCCACCGCACCUGGCCAGAAACAGUUUUGGGUUUUUUUAGAUAUUAUUAGGCAAGAGUGUCAAAAUGAAGUGUUCAUGAAUUUAAGGUGAGCCCUAAAUCUAUAGACUGGUGCAUAUGAGAAGAGAAGACACAAGAAAACACACAUGGAAGAGAGUGAUGAAGGCGAAGACCGGAGUGAUGUAGCUCCAAGCCACAGAAUGUCAGAGAUCGCCAGGAGCCACCUCCGGGAUAAGAUGGAAAGGCAGCUCAACAUCUGAGAAGCCAGUCUUACUCCCUGCAGGCAACAGCUGCUUCCAGAAAACAGCCCUAUUACUUCACCAAAGUACAGUUCCUACAGGAAGAUAAUGAUCUGACCUAACCUACUAUUGGCUGAAGGAAGGAGAAAAGCAGCUGAAGAUGUCUGUUGAGUGAUUACCCUCAUAAUCCGUGACUAAGAACAUCCAAAUCAGCAUGGCUUCUUCCUGUCUGAAAUUAUUACUACUUAGGGUUUUUCACGUGUUAUUUCAUUUAUUGAUUAUUCUGUUUUAAACUUGCAAGACGUAUUGUCUCUUCAGAAAUAAAACUUUAUCACUUGCUUCAUCAAUUCAAUUAAUUUCACAAUGCAUUGAUUAAACUCCUACGUAAGCAUUUCAGCAUUUUAAAACAUUUUUAAAAAGGUAAAAUCAGGACUGUCAUGUGAAUGAUAUGCCAAAGGUUUUA
rnacentral:lncRNA from 10 species